GGUGGGUUGAACCUGAUUUUGUGGCAUGCCAAACCUCGCACUUUAAUGGCAAUGUUAAAUAUAACAUAGAAAUGACAACAUAAUAUUACAGGACUACAAUACAAAUAAAUAGGAAAACGUAUUAGACAAAGAAACACAUGAUUAAUGAAUAACAAAAAGCAUCAGGUUUAAAAUUGAAUACGCCAAAAACGCGCCUCGUCCACAC
rnacentral:lncRNA from 1 species